AGACCCGAAACCCGGUGAUCUAGCCAUGGGCAGGUUGAAGGUUGGGUAACACUAACUGGAGGACCGAACCGACUAAUGUUGAAAAAUUAGCGGAUGACCUGUGGCUGGGGGUGAAAGGCCAAUCAAACCGGGAGAUAGCUGGUUCUCCCCGAAAGCUAUUUAGGUAGCGCCUCGUGAAUUCAUCUCCGGGGGUAGAGCACUGUUUCGGCUAGGGGGCCAUCCCGGCUUACCAACCCGAUGCAAACUGCGAAUACCGGAGAAUGUUAUCACGGGAGACACACGGCGGGUGCUAACGUCCGUCGUGAAGAGGGAAACAACCCAGACCGCCAGCUAAGGUCCCAAAGUCAUGGUUAAGUGGGAAACGAUGUGGGAAGGCACAGACAGCCAGGAUGUUGGCUUAGAAGCAGCCAUCAUUUAAAGAAAGCGUAAUAGCUCACUGGUCGAGUCGGCCUGCGCGGAAGAUGUAACGGGGCUAAACCAUGCACCGAAGCUGCGGCAGCGACACUGUGUGUUGUUGGGUAGGGGAGCGUUCUGUAAGCCUGUGAAGGUGUGUCGUGAGGCAUGCUGGAGGUAUCAGAAGUGCGAAUGCUGACAUAAGUAACGAUAAAGCGGGUGAAAAGCCCGCUCGCCGGAAGACCAAGGGUUCCUGUCCAACGUUAAUCGGGGCAGGGUGAGUCGACCCCUAAGGCGAGGCCGAAAGGCGUAGUCGAUGGGAAACGGGUUAAUAUUCCCGUACUUGGUGUUACUGCGAAGGGGGGACGGAGAAGGCUAUGUUGGCCGGGCGACGGUUGUCCCGGUUUAAGCGUGUAGGUGUGUGUUCCAGGUAAAUCCGGUUCACUUUAAC
rnacentral:rRNA from 1 species